UACGGGGGGAGCAAGCGUUGUUCGGAUUUACUGGGCGUAAAGGGCGCGUAGGCGGUCAGCACAGGUCAGUUGUGAAAUCUCCGGGCUUAACCCGGAAAGGUCAACUGAUACUGUGCGACUAGAGUGCGGAAGGGGCAACUGGAAUUCUCGGUGUAGCGGUGAAAUGCGUAGAUAUCGAGAGGAACACCUGCGGCGAAGGCGGGUUGCUGGGCCGACACUGACGCUGAGGCGCGAAAGCCAGGGGAGCGAACGGG
rnacentral:rRNA from 1 species